ACCGGGCAAGGUGGCGCGCGCCUGUCGUCCCAGCUACCCUGGAGGCUGAGGUGGGAGGAUAGCUUGAGUCCAGGAGUUCUGGGCUGUAGUGCGCUAUGCUGAUUGGGUGUCCGCACUAAGUUCGGCAUCAGUAUGGUGAACUCCUGGGAGCAGGGGACCACCAGGUUGCCUAAGGAGGGGUGAACUGGCCCACCUCAGAAACAGAGCAGGUCAAAACUCCUGUGCUGAUCAGUAGUGGGAUCAUGCCUAUGAAUAGCCACUGUACUCCAGCCUGGGCAACAUAGCGAGACCCCGUCUCU
rnacentral:SRP_RNA from 1 species